GCCUGGCUAGCUCAGUCGGUAGAGCAUGAGACUCUUAAUCUCAGGGUCGUGAGUUUGAGCCCCACAUUGGGCG
rnacentral:tRNA from 1 species